rnacentral:sRNA from 1 species
GUUGUCUUGACCAACGAGUCUCGCUCUACGACACCAACCAUGGCGCCCAUUGCGAUCGACAGCACAAACAAGCCGCAAUCCAAUCUGCUAUCAAAGCAUAUCUGCCCGUAAAGCUCAUCUUCAAGAGACGACUGACUAAGGAUUACCCCCUUCCGCCUCAUCGCACACUCAGAAAAUACCAGAUGGCUGGUAUCGACCUUUCUAUCCCUACUUUCCUCCUAAACCAUCCAUGUUCAAGCAGUAAACCAGAUUCAGACUAACCUUCCGAAGUAUGCGCAGAUAGAUUUUUGGAAAAGCCUUCAUAUUCGUUUACCGGUUAACAGCAUGACUGAUUUUUGAUUUCCCGAAAAUACUCGAUCUCUCAACAACACAUUAGAUUACCAAAACACAUUGGAUAACUAGACCUGGGAUGACUUCUCCUUCU